rnacentral:rRNA from 1 species
GACGUAGGGCGCGAGCGUUGUCCGGAUUUAUUGGGCGUAAAGAGCUCGUAGGCGGCUUGUUGCGUCGACUGUGAAAACUCACGGCUUAACCGUGGAACUGCAGUCGAUACGGGCAGGCUAGAGUUCGGUAGGGGAGACUGGAAUUCCUGGUGUAGCGGUGAAAUGCGCAGAUAUCAGGAGGAACACCGGUGGCGAAGGCGGCUAUCUGGACAGAGUCUGACGCUGAGGCGCGAAAGCUAGGGGAGCAAACAGG